AUAAUGUAAACAAUUUAUUGGAACAAUGUACAGAUUCAAGCAAUGGUAACCAGUCACACCCACUAUAUCAUCUUACAAAUAUUACAAAAUUACUACAGUACAAUAUAGAGUCUUUGCAUGAUCCAAAAAAUUUGGUGGCCCCAAAAGUAUUACUUAUUUUUAAAAUUCAGCAGCUUAUAAAAAAAAGAAGAAAAAUCAAAACAUGUCGAUGAGAAUGAUGUUUUCACUUUCAUUAGCAAAAGGAUGAAGGCAGAUAAUCUAAUCAAGUUUAAAGGCUAAUUAAACUGUAGACUACUAGAGCUCCUUGACUAGACAUUCCUUAAUAUUAAUGGGUGCUUUAUAAAAUACAAAUUUUUCAAUAAAGCUUCAUAGAAAGUCAAACCUAUAUUUGCAGAGAGUUUAAGUUGUCAACAUAUGCAAUUACUUUUAAAUCAGCUUUCACCUGCAUCUCUACAUACAGUGUACUGUAUUUCUAUUGCAAAACCCCAGCAAAAAUCCUCAAAGUAUUUGCAUUCAAGGCAUUGUGCAGAGAUUACACCAUUUACCUAAGCCUGAUAACAAUCACGUUUGACAAUAAGGAUGUAAAAGUAGGAAUCAUUCCUACUUCCUGGUUUCCAACUGUAAUCCCACUGUUCAGCUAGCAGUGUUGCAUGUAUUAACGUUAAUGUGAAUUAACACCCAUUUUGAAGAUGAUGGGGUGGGUUUUUAAACCAAUCUUUCCUUGUUUGAAAAGAUGUGGAAAGGUGGAGACAUGAGGAAACCAAUUAAAAACCAACCAACAAACAAACAAACAAACAAACAAACACACACACACACACACACAUACACACUAGACAUAAACACAACCUGAGGUUAACACAAAAACAUAUUCAUAUAGUGAAACACAAGUACAAUGUAUAGCAGCAGUUACGUCAAAAUUAUAGCACAGUAGAAAUUGGGAUUGUUGUGUUUUGUAGUACUACUAUCUUUUGAAGAAAGAACAGAAGUGUGUGCACAUCCACCCCGUCAAGCUGCGAUUACUUCAUAUUUUUGCAAGCCAAACAGCUGGAAUGUGACAAGACAAAAAUCACUUCUAAACACAUAAAGAUGUGACACAUACGAGUAUUUGCCUCUGUAUUCCAUGAUGCAUUAUAACCUGCAUUCAUCGUGUACGUCCUCAAAAAAUGUUUCAUCUAACAUUAGUAAUACACUUCAUAAUGUGGCAGUUGAGCUAACACAUUAAACUACUUCUACACUCCAAUAUCCCAAUUGGAUCAAGAUGCUUAAUGCAUUAAGGUCCACACAUUUUAGCAGCAAUGCUCAACGAUCUGUCGGGUCAUAUUCUAAAGUGUUUGGCUACAUCAUUCAUUUUAAGCACUUGCCAAGUAAGUAAGUCGGUAAGCAAGUAAGUAAAUUGUAGGUGCAUCACAAAGGAUUUAAAUACUGCAGUUAUUACUCUGGCCAGCAGAGGAAGAAUGGAUGGGCAUAAAAAAUAAAAAAAUUAAAAUUAAACAAAACAAUAAUAUAAAAAUAAAAAAAAUAAAAAUCCAUCAUGGAAUACAUUCAGGCCAUCUGCAACUUAAACAUAUAGAUUAAAAAAAAAAGAAAAACAUAACACUGCAACACAAGAAGACAACAACAUGUAAUUUCACAGUAUUUAAAAUCUACACAUCUACACACAGGUGAAACGUGAGGGAGAGAACACUCCAGCAAGAUUACUGUGAAGACUUUAAAAGUCACAGUGACGCUGAACAUAAAUGGUUGCUAUAAAAAAAAUAAAUAAAGCAAAAACUUGAUUGAAGCUCCUGCAACCUUCCCGCUUUAAGUUGGGGUGUAAGGGGCCACCAACAUGCAAAAGAUGAAAGUACCCCACAGUGACAACCACCCAAAACAUUAGAAAGUCAUCCUCAAGAUCAUGCUUUUA
ensembl:lncRNA